rnacentral:rRNA from 1 species
GAUGAACGCUAGCUACAGGCCUAACACAUGCAAGUCGAGGGGCAGCAUGAACUUAGCUUGCUAAGUUUGAUGGCGACCGGCGCACGGGUGCGUAACGCGUAUCCAACCUACCCGUCACUCAGGGACAGCCCAUCGAAAGAUGGAAUAAUACCUGAUGUUCUGUCAUGAUCGCAUGUUUAUGACAGUAAAGAUUUCUUGGUGACGGAUGGGGAUGCGACCGAUUAGCUAGUUGGCGGGGUAACGGGCCACCAAGGCGACGGUCGGUAGGGGUUCUGAGAGGAAGGUCACCACACUGGAACUGAGACACGGUCCAGACUCCUACGGGAGGCAGCAGUGAGGAAUAUUGGUCAAUGGUCGGAAGACUGAACCAGCCAAGUAGCGUGAAGGAUGACUGCCCUAUGGGUUGUAAACUUCUUUUGUUAGGGAACAAAGUGCACCACGUGUGGUGCUUUGCGUGCACCUUUCGAAUAAGCAUCGGCUAAUUCCGUGCCAGCAGCCGCAGUAAAAC